rnacentral:rRNA from 1 species
UACGUAGGGUGCAAGCGUUUGUCCGGAAUUAUUGGGCGUAAAGGGCUCGUAGGCGGUCCAUCGCGUCGGGAGUGAAAAGCUGGGGCUUAACCCCAGUCCUGCUUCCGAUACGGGUGGACUAGAGGUAGGUAGGGGAGAACGGAAUCCUGGUGUAGCGGUGAAAUGCGCAGAUAUCAGGAGGAACACCGGUGGCGAAGGCGGUCCACUCGGUCGGUCAACCUGACGCUGAGGAGCGAAAGCGUGGGGUAGCAAACAGG